UCUACUGUGUAGGAAAGAUAGUGCAUGCUCAAGAUGGCUGCCACCUACAGAUCCGGUCACUACUGGCCUCGUUCCUCGGCUUCCGUCACUGGUCCCGUUGGUGGCCACUGAGGGCAGGGCUGUCAAUCAUUCAUGACCACCUCAGCAUACCCACGGAAGCAAUUCCACCUUCAGUGGCCCCUGCUCCUGCUGGGUGUGGUAUUUUGGCUUCUCUUUGCCUAAUUCUUAUUCCCCUGGUAUUGUAAUGAAGUACCAAUUGCCUGACACGUUUCCCCAACUGUCACCUAGGACAUUGCUCCACCUGGAGCUACCCAUACUCCCCAGGUUUCCCUUCCUAACUAGUAGGAAUCUUUAUUUUGGAUAUGCUGUUCCUCUUUUGUUUGUAUACCAUGGUAACUGGUCUUCCCAUCUUGUCUCUCUUCCCCCGUCAGGGCAGGAGCAGCGUGGUCUACGCAGUCCUUCAUCUUGUGACAACUCUCCCAAGGCACCCACUCCACAUAGGACUGUGAGCACAUCCCAGAGCGGAUCUGCUGCUUUCCCCUUGAACAUAGCACAGUUCCAAUAUCUAUGACUCCCGGUGGGGGGAGGGGGCUGCCACCCCUAGGUGAUACAAUGACAGGUGGUAUUGACUUGCUUGUGUGUCCUCCAUGACCUGGGACUCCUCAGCUGGGAUCAGUAGCUGGACCUACCUUCCUCACACUGCUAUGUUUGGGAUAUACUGAUCGCACUCUGACACUCCCAGGAUUACCAAUAAAGUUUACUUUGAAUCAGAGGGUGGAGCUAGCUGACCAAAAUUAGCCACAGAGGUUUUGGUGGACAGAGGACAUAUAGCGAGGCAUAGGAAGUAGUAGGGUGGGGCUUAGAAAGAUUCUUGGCCCUUUUGGAUCAAGGAAGGAGAGAGGGAGAGCCUCUCUGCCCCUACUCUGAUCAUCAGGGUCUUACCCCGAUGUCUGACUCCUGCGUUUUUAUUGAUAAAGGAUAAUUAGACAAACAUAUCAACACCAUGACAGGAGCUGUAACUGCUACAUGGAAGACUGAAGUAGGGUCAAGAAAGGCAGAGAGAGAAGUAAAAGGAUGAACUUGGGUCCUAUAAAGUCACAAAGGUGAGCAAAACCGGAGGUGUCCCUCUAAGGCAUGCGUGCCACUGAAGGGCAUGGGUUUGGUCACCUAAGGUAAGUUUGGGGUACACAUUACACAGUUCCUGGGCCUACACAAGACACAACUGGCUCCAUAUCAAGCAAGCAGCCCCUUCCUCGCUGGGCCACCUCAGAAACAGCCACCAGUGAUACACAGGCUGCUUGCAAUUCUAUUCCAACCUUUGAUGCUACCAAAAACAACACAAACAAGGAAGAAACAACAUAUCCCCUGUAAACUAUGAAACACAGUGAACGAUGUAAGCCCACUGGGUGUGCUGUUAAACAACACGGUAGACAUUAAGGACAGACACAUCUGUGUAACACAGAUUUAUUGGAAUUAAAGACGGAACCUUGACUUCGUUUACACUUAAGAAAAUGUAACAAAGCCUCUUCUGUAUCCUUGAGUUACCACUAAGCCCCACGAGUACCUCCAUGGAGAGCAGGAGGCCGAUGCCCAGACAAAAAAGACAGAUUCCCUUCCAUCCAAUAAACAAUCCUAACGGCCAAAUGCUGAUGCUGACUGGGCGCCCGAGGAGCAGUCGGGCUUUUCCACAGCAAACUGCUGGCCAUCCCGUGGCGCUUAGGUCCCAUAAUGCAGCACUCUCGCACCCAGAGAUCCAUUCACCUCCCAGAGGGCACACAUGUCAAACAGCACAUCGCAGUGAACACGAAAACUCCUGGAGACGAUUCCAGAGUCUCCCUCCUCCCUUGGAACUUGCAUUUGCAAAGCAGCACUGCAGAAGCGGGGACUCUGGAGUGUGCUACCGUCCUUACGAGAGCAUUUUAGAAGCACCGAGUCAGGGGUGGCUGAAGAUACGAUUGAGGCGUGCUGCUUGGACUCACGCCGAGACCAGGCGUUCAUCCAUAUCCCGGGUGGGAGCUGUUUGUGAAUAGCACCCUCAGAACGCCCACUCCUCUUCUAUUUUUCAUACACACAUAGGGUCGAGGGCAGUGUCCCUGUGCAUCAGACAAAUGCCUGGGUAUGGAGCACGGUGUCAUCUGUCCUGUGUAAGCAAACGCGGGGACUGUGCGCUGGUGAUUAUGUCAACGUUACAGAAUAGAAUCGCCUAGGAAACAAAGCUCUGGGAGUGUCCGGGAGGGGAGCUGAGGUGCAGGGACUCACUCGAGAUUUAAGUGGCAUCACCCUCAUGGGCUGAAUGUAAAAGUGCAGAGAGUUGAGUACCAGCACUUGGCUCUGGAUAGUGCCUCCUGCUCCUCCCAUGACGAACUGCGCCCUACAACUGUGACCCAAAAUAAACCCUUCCUUCUCCGCGAUGCUUCUGCCGGGUAUUGUGCCACACCGUUGAGAGUGACUGACGCAGACUCAGACCUGGCGCCUGAUCCACGUUCCGUACCUUGUCCCCGUGAGAUGCUGGUGCUCGGCCAAUAGCCAAGGGGACUUUUAGGUGUGUAUGAAGGCUUGGCACUUGACUGAGGAAGGGGUACUAUGUCAUGAAACUAUUUACUUAUACUAUAGGAAACAAGGCAGGGGAGGAAGGGGCGGGAGAGACUUUUCCAUUAAGGGGAUCACUUGGCAAGUUCUGUCUUUAGUCAUUAAUUUGUUUUGAAACAGGGCCCAAGGUAAUGUGCACACGGGUUGGAGAGGAAGGCGAGAAAGGGGGAGAAGAGAUGAAAGGGGACUCAGGGGACAGGACAUGGGAGGAGGACUAUGGAGAAAACAGACUUCCCUGGAACUUCCUUAUCAGCAAGACUCCUGAGACAGACAUCUAAAAACAUCCCAAGGCCCAGUGCUGAGGCCCUUCGCCGUCUUUGGAGGGGUGCGUCUGUAUUAACUUAGGUCUUGCCAAUCCAGUAAAAUUUCCAGACAGAAUCCCAGGGGAACCUCUGUUUCCAGCAGCAAGAGGAAGAUCUAUACUAACCGAACACCGCUUCCCACGGGGGGCCCUCUCACUGACUCAUCCAUCUAAAUGGGGUUCCAACACUGGCACGGGUGGCCCUGGCACAUCCUGCCAGGUACUCAGAGUCUCUUCAGGAAGAUGCCAGUCUCGGUGUCAAAGGAGAGAAAUGAGACACCACCCACAAGGUGCACAGGGUUGAGGGGAUGCCAGAACAGGAAAGGCUGAAGACAUCUUACAGAAUGGUCCUCUGUCCAUUGGCAGGAUACGCGUGCCCUGCUGAGCAGACCCACUCCAAUCUCCUCAAUGCAUUCCAGGUACUAAAACAAGAUGACUCCUUCCGGAUGGGUCACAGGACUCGCACCGCCCAUUGAAAACCGGUUCAGUAAGAACCUGAGUCCCCAAGCCAGGCAGGGUGAAGGGGCAGCACCCGGAGGACCACCGUCACUCCCAGCUGGUGGAGCGUGAGGAGGCUGUCGAGGAGUCCCAGGAAAUGGAGGCAAAGAGGCUAGCAGUCCACACAGGGCUGAAACCUGAGAAGCACCUGAUUGGAGCGCUGGAAGGGCGGGGAGGAGCCAGGAUUCACUGUGAACGCGGAAUCCAGGAGGCACAAGGCUUGUAGGCUGCUCCCGGUGAGAUGAGCUCAGAAAGGGGCUGACCCAGAGAGUACCUUGUGAGCCUCGUGUGUAAUUUUUAAUUUUCUAGCAAGAUAGCUUUAACAAAAAGUAAAAUAGAAACAGUGAACAGGGGAUCUCUGCAGCGCACAGGAAGCAGGAAGAGCAGCAACUCCGGAUGAAGGAAAACUGGGAUCACCGAGGGGCUUUUCAAAAGCUCCUCACGCCCUCCUGGAUGCACCCCCACUUCUCCAUCACUGCCUGACUUCACAGAGGAAACAGGGUGAGCUUGACUUCUCCUGACCCUCGGCAUCUUCAGUCUCUCAACUGGACAACAGCUGACUUGCUGUGAAAUUCACAAGCUUUGUGAACCUCUAGCUCAGAAGACAGACCUGAGGUAGAAUUGUCACGAAUGGCCGCAGAUAUCUGCACACACUGGGAAAACAUCUCUCAUUGGUGGGAAACGCUAACACGGCUGGCAUCAGCAGGAAUCAAGGAAAGGAGUUCUAUAAACCAUAUUAUAGAACCAAGGACUUACACGGAUUCUAGGAAAGGAGUUCUAUAAACCAUAUUAUAGAACCAAGGACUUACACGGAUUCUAGGAAAGGAGUUCUAUAAACCAUAUUAUAGAACCAAGGACUUACACGGAUUCUAGGAAAGGAGUUCUAUAAACCAUAUUAUAGAACCAAGGACUUACACGGAUUCUAGGAGGCUCUAGAGGAGCCUGGAGCUCCUAGGGGGGUCCCAGAAAAUCCCCUCUCCCUCUGAUUUAGCCCACAUGCUCCUGUCUCUGUUGUUCAUGCUAACUCGGAGUGCGUGCCCCCAGGAACUCGUCCCUACUGUCCCCUGCUUUUACUAUCAGACAAGAAGCCAGACUACUUUCUUGAUCUAACUCUGACAUUCCCAGGAAUGGAGUAUGAAAAGUCCCUGGAAGACAAACAGCCGACCCGUCACGUCUGCUUCCAUGCCAGUUACACAGACGAAAGAAUCCAGAAGAAAUUUCCUAAAUUUCCAGAAUUCUCUAAUUUCUUCUUGGUCAAGAUGAAAGGAAAUGCAAUAAUCUGUCUUCCCACUGUGUCUUCCCAAGCCAGGCACUUCCUAAACAGGGAGGGAAUUAUUCAAUGACAGUGCUCAGAGUCUUCUCUGGAAUCCAGGAGCCUCAGGAGCUGCCUCCUUCCUGUCUCUACCAGCUCCAGGCCAUCAUUCCCUUGGUGACAGAGGUACUUUCUCAGAGCAAGGCCUCCACAUGAGGCCACCCCUACUCUGUGUCCCCAGACUGACCAUCUCUCCCUUUAGCCUCUCUUCCACAGAGCCUCCCUCCAGCCACUGUGCCAGACCAGCCAGGAUCAUGUGACCCCUGGAGGCCUGAGAGUGUCUGAGCUAACUUGUUUUCCUUUGCUUUGGUACAAUAAGCUUAACAGGAGCAGGGUCUGUCUCUCUGGUGUGCAUUCAACUCCACGGCAGAGUCUCGAGCAACAGGAAACAGUCAAAAGCCAUUUAAUAUGCACUUUCAAGUGGAAAAUUAAUAAAUAAACAAGUGAACUAGGCCGAGUCCUUAGCUUCCCAGUGUCCCAGGGUACAGAGCGAGGCACGGCUGGGAGUCUAGUAAACCGCUUCCCAGACCUCAUUUCCUAGCUCAGAACACUGACCCAGACGGGAACCACUUGGCAGGUGAUGGCUGGCAGGGGCCACUCCAAAGGGAUAAGGGACACUUUGUUACACCAAGGCAACCUAAAAACAAAGUCAACUGUGGUCCCCUAAGCAGCAGAAUUCCUGCACUCAAAGAAGCCAAGUUCAUGUUCCUUCACAAGUGGUUUUCUAAAGUAGGCUAUUGGCUACUCAUCAAAAAACCAGAAAACCCAGAACAUCAAGGUUUUCGCCAAAAUCAAAAGCAAUUGCACCAUCUAGUCCUUACUCAAGACCCUCAGCCCCUGUUACAUGUCA